rnacentral:rRNA from 1 species
GAUGAACGCUAGCGGAAGGCCUAACACAUGCAAGCCGAGCGGGAUUUGAGACUAGCUUGCUAGUCUUAAUGAGAGCGGCGUACGGGUGCGGAACACGUGUGCAACCUGCCUUUAUCUGGGAGAUAGCCUUUCGAAAGGAAGAUUAAUAUCCCAUAAUAUAAUGAUUGGCAUCAAUUAUUAUUGAAAGCUCCGGCGGAUAGAGAUGGGCACGCGCAAGAUUAGAUAGUUGGUGAGGUAACGGCUCACCAAGUCGAUGAUCUUUAGGGGGCCUGAGAGGGUGAUCCCCCACACUGGUACUGAGACACGGACCAGACUCCUACGGGAGGCAGCAGUGAGGAAUAUUGGACAAUGGGUGAAAGCCUGAUCCAGCCAUCCCGCGUGAAGGAUUAAGGACCUAUGGUUUGUAAACUUCUUUUCUACAGGGAUAAACCUACUCUCGUGAGAGUAGCUGAAGGUACUGUAGGAAUAAGCACCGGCUAACUCCGUGCCAGCAGCCGCAGUAAUAC